GCCGCGCCUGAGGUGAUGCGGACCCCGGGUGGGCGCAGGGCGCGGGCUCGGGCGCCGCCGCUGCGUCCUCCCCGGCCGCGGGCGAGCCGCUGCAGAGGGAGCGCCGCUCCGGGGCGGAGUGCGGGCUCGCGCGGCAAGUGCGCGCCGAGGUCACGAAAUGGAUUCGAGUGAACCGGAGACCCCGAAAACGGAAGCGCAGGGAGAAAGAAGAGGUGUUUGAAAAGCUUCUUCCAGACCAGCUGGUCUUGCUUCUGGAGCAUCUCUUGGAGCAGAAGACUCUGAGCCCCCGAACUCUGCAAAGCCUCCAGAGGACAUACCACCUCCAGGAUCAGGAUGCAGAGGUUCGCCAUCGGUGGUGUGAACUCAUUGUUAAACACAAGUUCACGAAAGCCUACAAAAGUGUGGAGAGGUUCCUUCAGGAGGAUCAGGAAAGACCACAGCGAGAUUCUUUCAUUCGUCUCCUCCUAGCCUGGGGGAC
rnacentral:sRNA from 1 species